rnacentral:rRNA from 1 species
UAAGGAAUAUUGGUCAAUGGACGCAAGUCUGAACCAGCCAUGCCGCGUGAAGGAUUAAGGCCCUCUGGGUUGUAAACUUCUUUUAUAGGGGAAGAAAUGUGACGGUUCUCCGUCACUUGACGGUACCCUGGGAAUAAGCACCGGCUAACUCCGUGCCAGCAGCCGCGGUAAUACGGAGGGUGCAAGCGUUAUCCGGAUUCACUGGGUUUAAAGGGUGCGUAGGUGGGCAGAUAAGUCAGUGGUGAAAUCUUCCGGCUUAACCGGGAAACUGCCAUUGAUACUAUUUGUCUUGAAUAUUGCGGAGGUAAGCGGAAUAUGUCAUGUAGCGGAGAAAUGCUUAGAUAUGACAUAGAACACCAAUUGCGAAGGCAGCUUACUACACAAUCAUUGACACUGAGGCACGAAAGCGUGGGUAGC